rnacentral:ribozyme from 14 species
AAAGAUACAAGCGCGAAUUAAAGAUGCCAAGGCGAUAGAAGAAAAAACAAUAAAAGAAAGGAAGAAAGAGUUGUCGAAUAGGUGGACGGAUGUGGCCUUUAUCUCCGCUUUCUUCAUGUCUUU